UAAUUUGUAACUUACAACUCACUGUCAGAGGUUGCAGGCUUUACUGGGAAUGCCUUAUGGGUAAAGUAGUUUAGCCUGGCUUAGCUUUAAAUCUCUUUCCUUUGCCCUUAUCUAGCAGAAGAGCCUUUGAGUGAAGACCUGGGAACUUGGAAAAGACUUCUUACUCCGUUACACGAGUGGGAGGCUGAGCCCCACUGCGGCCCUGUGAGCUGCUGCCCGCCAGGCCCACCUCUUCAGGUCCAGGGGCACCAGAGAAAGUGGGAGCCAGCAAACAGAAGGGUGGCUGCAGUCUGAGUCCUGGGUUUGCCUAGAGUUGGCCUCCUUGUGGCGGUGUGCCCUUCAUCUGGGAGGAGGCCAGCGGACCUAUUGACUGUGUGAAUAUGUUUGUGGAUUCUGCUCUCCACGUGAACCCGUGUUACUCUGCAGAGGAGAUGCAUUUCAGUAAGCGCAUCUCAUAAGCUGUCAGGAUCCACAAUGGCUUUGUGAAAACGAAGACUUGGAGAAUUUGUGAGGCUUCUCUCUGCAUGAAGAUGUCUGCUUUCAUACGUGCUUCCGAAGUUCUGGAAUCACCCGCUCUCUGACGGCUGAUUGCUGAGUGUGUCCUUCAAGCCAGAUGGUUCCCUUUACAGUCAGAGGAUGAACAGAAACCUCACAGCAGAAGCUUGGGGACAACUUGGGACAUUUUGUGGUACUCCAUGAGGAGGUAUUUGAACAGCUGCCUACGCAGAGGCGAGGGAGGGAGCCUUGCCUUCCUAACUGGAGGAAUAUGACUGUGUGCACAGAGGAGGGCCGCACCUUGGACCCCAACUUUUAGCGGCUGGGGGAGCUGCAGGAUGGAGCACAGAAGCUUGUUUGCUAGCUGCAGAAUCUUGCGCCUACACCCUAGAGCUAGUGUCAUGGCCUCAAGACUUCUUGAACAAGAGAGUUACACCAGAAUCUUUAAGAAGAUCUCAGGCACAUCUCUGAUGUAGCCACAUAGAGCCCAAAGGUUGCAGUGCCGAGGGACUCGCUCCCGGGUUCUCGUCUGUGAGAACCACUCCAAAGGGACCCAGGGCACCUUGUGGCCAUCGAGCUCUCUGUUGGGACCAGUAGCAGCCUCCUGAGGGGACUGCAGAGUCCUGCCCUCGAGGAACUUACAGGGAGGAACCAGUUGUAGCUGACACGCACUGAGCUUCAGACCCUGUAACUAAUGCUGUCAGGGAUCAUGUCCUUUAAUCUGCGCAGCCACCUGAUGAGGUUGGACAAUUACUUCCCCCUUUUUAGAGAUGAGGAGAUUGAAGUUUAC
rnacentral:lncRNA from 1 species